UACGUAGGGUGCAAGCGUUAAUCGGAAUUACUGGGCGUAAAGCGUGCGCAGGCGGUGAUGUAAGACAGAUGUGAAAUCCCCGGGCUCAACCUGGGAACUGCAUUUGUGACUGCAUCGCUAGAGUACGGCAGAGGGGGAUGGAAUUCCGCGUGUAGCAGUGAAAUGCGUAGAUAUGCGGAGGAACACCGAUGGCGAAGGCAAUCCCCUGGGCCUGUACUGACGCUGAGGUGCGAAAGCGUGGGGAGCAAACAGG
rnacentral:rRNA from 1 species